UGAACGCUGGCGGCGUGCCUAAUACAUGCACGUCGAGCGAACGGACGAGAAGCUUGCUUCUCUGAUGUUAGCGGCGGACGGGUGAGUAACACGUGGAUAACCUACCUAUAAGACUGGGAUAACUUCGGGAAACCGGAGCUAAUACCGGAUAAUAUUUUGAACCGCAUGGUUCAAAAGUGAAAGACGGUCUUGCUGUCACUUAUAGAUGGAUCCGCGCUGCAUUAGCUAGUUGGUAAGGUAACGGCUUACCAAGGCAACGAUGCAUAGCCGACCUGAGAGGGUGAUCGGCCACACUGGAACUGAGACACGGUCCAGACUCCUACGGGAGGCAGCAGUAGGGAAUCUUCCGCAAUGGGCGAGAGCCUGACGGAGCAACGCCGCGUGAGUGAUGAAGGUCUUCGGAUCGUAAAACUCUGUUAUUAGGGAAGAACAUAUGUGUAAGUAACUGUGCACAUCUUGACGGUACCUAAUCAGAAAGCCACGGCUAACUACGUG
rnacentral:rRNA from 1 species